GUACGGCCUUUCGACGACAUUUUCAAUACCGUCGCUUCGUAUAAAUCACGUGCACAUGUAUAUUGUUCCGAAUGUUUUAACACGUACCGCGCAUAAGUAUGCGUAUCCUCCGAUAAACGGUUUCCGAACGAUAACCGUCCGAUAACGUAAUAGUGUGUGACCUGUCGAAUAUAAUCGUGCACGUAUCGUUUCUCUAGAAACUAAAACGGCCGAU